UAGUCCACGCCGUAAACGAUGAGUGCUAAUUGUCGGCUUUUUGUCGGCGAUACAGUUAACACGUUAAGCACUCCGCCUGGGGGGUACGGUCGCAAGAUUAAAACUCAAAGGAAUUGACGGGGACCCGCACAAGCGGUGGAGCAGGUGGUUUAAUUCGAUGCUACGCGAAGAACCUUACCACCUUUUGACAUUAUGGUCGCGGACUUUGUAAUGGAAGUCCUUCAGUUCGGCUGGACCAAUAACAGGUGUUGCAUGGCUGUCGUCAGCUCGUGUCGUGAGAUGUUGGGUUAAGUCCCGCAACGAGCGCAACCCUCAUCCUUAGUUGCCAGCGGUUAGGCCGGGAACUCUAAGGAAACUGCCCGUGACAAGCGGGAGAAGGUGGGAUGACGUCAAGUCAUCAUGGCCUUACAAGGUGGGGCUACACACGUGCUACAAUGGGCAACUACAACGGGGCCGCAACCUCGCGAGAGGGAAGCUAAUCCUGAAAAGUUGACCUCAGUUCGGGAUUGGGAGUCUGCAACUCGACUCCA
rnacentral:rRNA from 1 species